rnacentral:rRNA from 1 species
AGUUAUCGUUUAUUUGAUAAUACCUUACUACUUGGAUAACCGUGGUAAUUCUAGAGCUAAUACAUGCUGAAAAUCCCGACUUCGGAAGGGAUGUGUUUAUUAGAUAAAAAACCAAUGCCCUUCGGGGCUUUUUGGUGAUUCAUGAUAACUUUACGGAUCGCAUAGCCUUGCGCUGGCGACGGUUCAUUCAAAUUUCUGCCCUAUCAACUUUCGAUGGUAAGGUAUUGGCUUACCAUGGUUUCAACGGGUAACGGGGAAUUAGGGUUCGAUUCCGGAGAGGGAGCCUGAGAAACGGCUACCACAUCCAAGGAAGGCAGCAGGCGCGCAAAUUACCCAAUCCCGACACGGGGAGGUAGUGACAAUAAAUACUGAUACAGGGCUCUUUUGGGUCUUGUAAUUGGAAUGAGUACAAUUUAAACCUCUUAACGAGGAACAAUUGGAGGGCAAGUCUGGUGCCAGCAGCCGCGGUAAUUCCAGCUCCAAUAGCGUAUAUUAAAGUUGUUGCAGUUAAAAAGCUCGUAGUUGAAACUUGGGCCUGGCUGGCGGGUCCGCCUCACCGCGUGCACUCGUCCGGCCGGGCCUUCCUUCUGAAGAACCUCAUGCCCUUCACUGGGCGUGCUGGGGAAUCAGGACUUUUACUUUGAAAAAAUUAGAGUGUUCAAAGCAGGCCUUUGCUCGAAUACGUUAGCAUGGAAUAAUAAAAUAGGGCGUGCGUUUCUAUUUUGUUGGUUUCUAGAGACGCCGCAAUGAUUAACAGGAACAGUCGGGGGCAUCAGUAUUCAGUUGUCAGAGGUGAAAUUCUUGGAUUUACUGAAGACUAACUACUGCGAAAGCAUUUGCCAAGGAUGUUUUCAUUAAUCAGUGAACGAAAGUUAGGGGAUCGAAGACGAUCAGAUACCGUCGUAGUCUUAACCGUAAACUAUGCCGACUAGGGAUCGGGCGAUGUUCUUUUUCUGACUCGCUCGGCACCUUACGAGAAAUCAA